CAUAUAUGCAAGGUUUCAGAAAAGAUUAUCUUCGUUGGACAGAUGAGGAAGCCAAGACCCAGAGAGGGAAGAUUCUUGCUCAAGGUCACACAGCAAGUUUGAGGACAUAUUACUCCGAGGAUCUGUUCCGCCUGAGAGAGUCUCCUUCUCAACCCCCUGUGGAGGCACCAGAGGUCACUUCUGCUCACAUUCUAUCAGCCAAUUCAAGUCACACAGCCACACCUAACUUGAAGGGGGGGGGGGGUAUGUUCUCAAAGUGCCCAGAGGAGGAGAUCUAGAAUGCCUACCAGGGAGGGGUAGGGAGAGCUUCUCUAGUUUUUGCAGGGAUCCGAACUGUGCAUAAGAGUUGUCCAGGGAAAGGGUAACAUCAUGGCAGCGUGGGGGACCAGCUAGGAAGCGGCAGCAGCACGUGUGCAGGCCCUGAGGUAGGAAACAUCACAGCCAGUUUGAGCCGCAGAAGGAAGGCCAGAGUAGCUAGAACCCAGCGAGCAAGGGGAAAGUGGCUUCCACGCCAACGGGGCCAAUGGGGAAUUAGAUGCCAAUGGAAGACUGGUAGUCAUACCCCAGGGGAGAAGAGUGGACAGGCAGGGUUCAUUUUGGCUUCAGUAUGAGAGACAAGUAGGUGGGGAGAGGGGCUUCAAGGAGCGGACACCUGUGCAUCGCGACACACCUGCCAGGUGGGCAGAAUGCCCAUGGUAUUGGAAGGAAACUGUGGACCAGAGAGAUGAGUUGCUUGGCUGGAGGGUUGCAGCUGGAUGGGAAGAGAACUGAAAACGGAAAAUUUUUCUGGCUACAUGAUUCAGGUUAUUAAGUAAUAUGGCCCUGUAUCUCCUGAAACGUGCCACGCUUUGGGAAAUCCUGAGCUAGAAAAAGAUGA